UGUCUCUUUUUAUCUACUGAUUUCUCAACUGAAAUCCUCUCGAAAAUCAGAAAUCAGGGCAGAAAUCUCUCAUUUUCGUGCGUUUUUCCCAUUUGGCCGUUCAAAAUCCAAUUUCCACGUUUUUUGGUUCGAUCUGAGGAGUUUUUUUUUUUUUUGCUAUUUUCACUGAAAUCUUGCUCAGGAAGUGGAAAAUCCUGUCGUUUCUAGCUCAUUUGCUGGAUUUGAGCAGUUUCUGCAUUGCAAUAUCAGCGAUUAGGGUUUGGUGUUCGAUCUGAGAGCAAAACCUUGUUCUCUGCUGCGAAAUCUGCUCCUCCAUUGCCGAUUUCCAUGUAGGCUAGAUAAACAAGGGGCAUAUACACCAAUUGCAGCUCCUCACCGAACCGAACCCUAGCUCUUCUCUCCGUCUUCUCCAAUAUUUCUCUCGUCUUCGUCAAAUCUACCGUCUCUCUCUCUCUCUCUCUCUCUCUCUCUCUCUCUCUCUCUCUCUCUCUCUCUCUCUCUCUCUCUCUCUCUCUCUCCGAUCAUCAGAUCCACAAAAGACAGUGAGCUUUUUUCCAGUUUUUUUCCACUUAUGGUUUUUUUUUCUCAACUUUUAGUGCUUAAUCUAUUUUAAUAUGAAUCUCGCUUAUGUUUCUCGAUUCUGAGAGAUUUCGUUGGAUUUUGAUCUGAUUCUUGCUGAUAGAUCUGUUUUCCUUUCAAAUCUCAUUGUUUGGAGCUUUGCUUUUUUAUUUUUGUUUUAAGCUGAUGAUGCAUAUUGCCUUCCUUUUCGAUUUUUUUUUCUUAGUUUGAUUAUUCAUUUGAAGAAGUUACUCAAAUUUACAAUUGGCAUUAUUUGAGGACAGAGGAAGGGUUUUAACUUUCAAUCAGGCGAUGCCAAGAACAACCACCUAGUGACUUCUCUAUUGCUCAGUUCCGGUUUCUGGAGCGACUACUUGUCGUCCAUGGGCACUAGUGCUAUAAGAGGAUUACCCAAAUGGUAAAGUUGAGGAUGUUGAAUUGCCUGAGAAAGUAGACAUUCUGAUUUCUGGGGCUAUAUGAUUCAAAAGGGUGUUCUCAAAUGACCAUGAUCUAACUUCUGUAGUGUUAACAAGGUAUGAUUAUGAAACAAUUUGAUUCAAGUGAUUGAAUUUGGUAAUUUACCUCAUGAACUGCGAAUCCCACUGUGGAUGGAGCAUAUCACUAAAAAUCCACUUACCAAAAGCAAUUCUAACCAUCCAAUUAAUUGCUAUCAAAUGGAUGGUUCAAAGUAAAAUAGUGAGUGGCUCAUAUUUGAAGAGAGAAAAAAUCAUAUGGUUAAACUUAUUUUCUCACUGCAC